GCCACGGUGAGGAUUUUCAUCUUCCCCAGUGAUGAGGGCACUGGGAAGCCACGGUCUACAUCAAUUCCUGUGACACCACCUUAAUGCCAUUUAAACUGGUGAUAAACAGCACUAUUACCCACUGCCAUUUAGCUAUGAUGCUGGAAUCCAUGGACAGGCCUGCCCUGGAGAGCGAGCGAGCUGAGUAAUGCCCUCAGAAUACCUCGGCUUUGGUGUUACCUGACUGACUCUUGUCAUCUCUGCCUGUGAAACUGGCACAAGAUCGUGGGGUCCCCUCACUUCACCUCUCAAGUAACUGAGGGCUCUGGGAUGUUGCAAGGACAGAAAAACAGCCCCUACCCGUAAUCUUCUCAGGUCUUAGGACACGUGACACAGCAGACAGGCCGUAGGCGGGACCUCGGUUAAAAUGUGCAGAAGACAUGCUGGCCAGGGGCUCUGGCAGAGUGGAGGCCUGUGGUAAAGCCUCGGUGACAAGCCCUUACCCAGCAUGUGAAAAUCUUCAAGAACAGCUAACUGUCCACCAUCACAAGAGAACCAUGCAGGCUGAAGAUGCUUCCGGAUGCUGAACAAACCGAGAACAGAGGAGCUGAUGAGGUGGACUAGCAGGUGAAGAAACUUGCCACCAA